GGAGCACCAUGCUGCGGAGCCGGAGCAGCAGUUUUGCACUUGGAGAGUUCGACAGGGACGCCGCAGGCUUUAGUGAGAUGGAUAGCGUCGGAGACAUUAACGCCGAUCGACUCCAAGAAACCCGGCGUGGUAUAGAGGUUGCAAAGGCACUGAAGCUGCGUCGCCACCGCUUCCUUGAUCGGAUCGCAGCACGACGCUGGAGGAUUAUUGGACUUCAGGAAAUCCGCACAUGGCACUAGCUUCGAAGCACAGUCCGGCACCUGCGCCUCCACGAAGCCGACGG
rnacentral:misc_RNA from 1 species